UCCCGACCGGCUAACGAAACCAAACCGACACACGUCCCGUGAAAAUGGCUGGGCAAGAGCAAAACAAAAAAUCAAAAGCUCUAUAUGGAUAAAAAAGCGAGCAAAGCUAACCAACGGCCUCUGUCUCGAGCCUCGACUACGUCACUACAGCGCCACCACGGCCACGCCGAACCUCCAUCCUCUCAAUAAAUCCUUGAAUACUCGAACAAAAAUAGGAAAAACCGACCGUUUUGGUUUGUUUCUCUGCCUUCUUAGAUCAGAAUCUCACUUAAGAAAACUCUGGAAAUCAUGGGCAGGGCCAUAUCCACAGCCAGUCAUUAUGUCAGAAGGUUCGGUUUCACUUGACAUGGAGGCACGGAGGCUCGCCGUUCUCUCUUCCCAUCUCUGCCCUCUCGGUUCCGGUCAGCCUCGGGGUCGGACUCCUAUCCCACUUUUUUCAGCCCUCUCCUUUUCCAAUUGCGCUUCUGAUUCGGGUGAGACUCAGCGGUUCAGUGAUUCUGAGCAGAUGGAUCGGCAAAACGACUGUGUUUUCUGCAAGAUUGUGCGCGGUGAAUCACCAGCUCUCAAGCUCUAUGAAGAUGAUGCGUGCCUAUGCAUAUUGGAUACAAAUCCUCUGAGUCAUGGGUAAGGUCUUUGGAAUCUUGUUGAAACAAGCUCAAAACCCCCCAAACCAGAAGAUGAUGUGGUUGAAUUCGAGGCUUGGAGGAAGAGGAAUGAUAUGACUUUACAAGCAAUUCAAAGUUCAUGCGGGAUGAACAUACUAUCUUGGAUCAAUAACAUUUGUUCUGCAAAUAUUGCUUUGGAAAUGUUGGCUAAAAUGUUCAUGGAAAGUAAUGGACAGGACAAGCUAAUACAGACUGAAGAUGAUGAUUCGAUAAUUAACAAAGGAAACUCUUCAAGUAAAGACAACGCAGGGCAAGAGAGGGAGGAUGAUUAUGCGGGCUUAGUCAAGGCUGUGCAAAGUAGGGAUUGGAUAAUUGCAAGAGAUUUCCUCAAGCUCCACCCUGCUGCUUCGACAGCAAGAAUUCCAUUUACGCGUGGGACAGUUCUUCACGCUGCUGUUGAAGCUGAACAGGAAUGUAUAGUCGAGGAGUUGGUCAAUAUGAUUUCUGAACAUGAUUUGGCAAUGCAAGAUAAACUAGGCUAUACAGCUCUAUAUGUAGCAAUUACUAGUGGGAAUCAACGGAUGGCAGAGUUCCUGAUGACAUAGAACAAGAGCUUGGUCAGCGUUAGAAAUUAUUCUGACGGAGAACUUCCAGUUACUAUGGCCAUGGGCUUUGGGCAUAAAGAAUUGGCUCGCUAUCUCUAUUCUAAACUCCAUUUGAAGAUUUGGAGCCAGAACAAAGCCUCGAUGGUGCCACACUUCUCAACUACUCUAUCUAUAACAAAGAUUUAGAUAUGGCUUUGGAUUUAGUGGAGCGUUGUCCUAGUUUGGCUUUUGGCUGCGGCGGACUCCCUUUGAGGGUACUGGCCAUUUCGACCGAAGCAUUCGAGAGUGAAAAUCGGCUGGUGUUUUGGAAACGAUGGAUCUAUAAACACUAUGGGCGGUGAAAUAGACGUAGGAGUCACAGGUGCUGGGCGAUGAUGGGCAAAGGGAGGUCGACGAGUCAUGGGUGCUGGGCGACGAGAGGGACGGUAACGACUCAAGAUGCGUUGUGCGGUGGCGCUAGUGGAGGGAGGGCAUUGUGGGUGUUGGGCGAUGAGUGGUCCCCUUGAACUCUUCCCUCUUGUUCGAAAUGGUCUGUGGGGGAAAAAGGCUAGGCGGCGAUGGAUAAAGGCAGGCCGACGAGUUGCCAGUUUUGGGCAACCCUCAACGAGAGGGAGGGAGGUAAGGGGACGCGGGAGUGGGAUAGGUUCAAUACAGAAAUAUGGUUGAGGUUCAAAAUUCAAAAUGCUAGUUUCAACAGGAAAAAAAAAAAAGUACAUCCACAUAAGUUGUGCAACGGCUGAUUUCCUAUAGUGGCUAAUCGAUAGCUUUUCUCUUUUAGUUAAGUGUGCAAAUAAACUGUUUUAUAUGUUUUACCCUUAUAUAAACUGUUUUCUAAUUUUGUGCCUCC